GCACUAAGUCUUGCCAAUCGACAAGUCGGACAAGAUGUUUAAUUCGAUUAGGGAGCCGAGAAAUAUAUUAAAGCGACAGAAGUACACGCGACGACACAAAUAAUAUACCAAGAAAUACCAGGAAUUUCAAUGCAUCAAGAUGAUGCUCUGAUAGUCUAUUGAAAAGUCUAAUGCCAAAGUAGAAAUUGGCUUGCAGUCCUGAGAAAAGAAAAGCAGAAAAGAGGCUUCGGAUUUAACAUUGUCAGCAAUAGGGGCCUGGGAUUCCAAUUAGUUGACUUUAAAAGAAGAUUCAAGAAAAACUCUAUAUUUGCAAUACCAGAGGAAUUGUUAAAUUUACCAUAUCUCCAGAAUUUCAACUUCGUGUUUGUAAUCUCGACAAUUUAUAUGCAACAUUUUGUUGAAAGAAUCCUCAGUAUUUGUUGUGGUGAACAAAAUAAAU